CCGGUUGAUCCUGCCGGACCUGACUGCUAUUGGAUUGAUAUUAAGCCAUGCAAGUCAUUGUAGCAAUACAAGGCAUACUGCUCAGUAACACGUAGUUAAUCUACCCUGUGGACGAGGAUAACCUCGGGAAACUGAGAAUAAUACUCGAUAGAUCAUUAUGCUUGGAAUAGUUUGUGAUUUAAAUGAUUUCGCCAUAGGAUGAGACUGCGGCCUAUCAGCUAGUUGGUGUGGUAAUGGCUCACCAAGGCUAUAACAGGUACGGGCUCUGAGAGGAGAAGCCCGGAGAUGGGUACUGAGACACUGACCCAGGCCCUAUGGGGCGCAGCAGGCGAGAAAACUUUGCAAUGUGCGAAAGCACGACAAGGUUAAUCCAAGUGAUUUCUGCUAAAGAAAUCUUUUGUUAGUUUUAAAAAUACUGAUGAAUAAGGGGUGGGCAAGUUCUGGUGUCAGCCGCCGCGGUAAAACCAGCACCUCAAGUGGUCAGGAUGAUUAUUGGGCCUAAAGCAUCCGUAGCCUGUUGUGUAAGUUUUCGGUUAAAUCCAUGUGCUUAACAUAUGGGCAGCUGGAAAUACUAUACGACUAGGGAGUGGGAGAGGUAGACGGUACUCGAUAGGAAGGGGUAAAAUCCUUUGAUCUAUUGAUGACCACCAGUGGCGAAGGCGGUCUACCAGAACACGUUCGACGGUGAGGGAUGAAAGCUGGGGGAGCAAACCGGAUUAGAUACCCGGGUAGUCCCAGCUGUAAACAAUGCAAACUCAGUGAUGCGUUGGCUUAUAGCUAACGCAGUGCUGCAGGGAAGCCGUUAAGUUUGCCGCCUGGGAAGUACGUACGCAAGUAUGAAACUUAAAGGAAUUGGCGGGGGAGCACCACAAGGGGUGAAGCCUGCGGUUCAAUUGGAGUCAACGCCG
rnacentral:rRNA from 1 species